GAAAUGUCAGAUAGACCUCUUACCAGUGAAGGGCAUGCAGUGCAGCUGGACACUGUCAAUCCAGGUGUACGCGAUCUUGAGUUUAUAAUUGAUGAAGUUCCAGAGCUUCAAGAAAUUGCUAUUAAAUUGCAAGGAAAGUAUGAUUCUCUUGCUCUUGCAGUGAAAAAGUCACUUGAAAUUCAUUGCAUUGAUGUAGAAGAUGCAAAGUUUUUGAUAAAGGAAUGCUUAAGGAGAA